CUGAAUCACAUUUGUUGUCGCUUAUGGCUCGGGGUCAUCUACACCCAGAGAAGGAUGUGUUCCAGGUGUCCCACAACAAUAACUAUCUCUGACUGAGAGUAGCCCGGUCACAAACUGGCAACAUCAACAACUUGCUAGGGCAGCCCCUCCUUAUGGGGGAUAACGGCUGGUCAGCUGUGCCAGAGGGCAAAGGAGGAGGACAUGCAGGGCAAAUGAUUCCCCAACACUUCUGACAUAUUCUGUUUUCAUUUCCUAUUUUGUUUGAUCACUCAGUUGUGAUUGCAUUUCUCCACUGUGGUUGAACUUGUUUACAUCCUGCCUGCAGGCCUUAAUCUGUCUGGUGGAUAAGAAGUCGGGGGAGAAAAGCAAAGUCCGACCGCGCUUCGUGAAGCAGGACCAGGUGUGCAUCGCCCGGCUGAGAGCGGCAGGAACCAUCUGCUUAGAGACCUUCAAAGACUUCCCUCAGAUGGGACGGUUCACACUGAGGGACGAGGGUAAAACCAUCGCCAUCGGCAAAGUGCUGAAGCUGGUCCCAGAGAAGGACUAAACGCCUCGUCAGCUGACCGUUGUUCUUCCUCUUGUUACCGGGGAGAAACGCUGCUCGGCCGACAAACAGCUGCUCUCUCUUCACACUCAACACGCUGAAGAGAAGUCCAACGACAACCAGGAGAGGGAUCGAGGAGUUAAAAUAACGUCACACGAAGAAAACAAGACUGAAUCAGUUUUUUUGAUGAACUAUAUUAAGUGAGAGACCAAGUCCAGUGUGUCAGCUUUCUCAUAUUGAGAGCUCAGCUAUGCCACUAAUGUAGCUACAAGCCCCGCCCCCUUCUGUAUUCCCACGGCUCACCGCGAUGUCGGCUCGCUACGCCAUUUGUUUUUAGAAUGGAGAUGGAUGCAGUGUUACUGAGUUUGGGGAGGAUAUGACCACAGAAAGAUUUCAUAUCCUGCAAAACAAGAGCAGGGUUAGCCUGUAAUUAUAAUUUGCAAAUCACAUCUCCCUUUUUAAGAGCGGGAUUUAGGAAACCUUUUAUUUGGUUUUUAAGGAUUGCUGUACCAACAUUUUGAGUUUGGUCUCUCUCCACAUGAGAUGGUUUGAUUGGAUUGGGCUCACAUACUACUCUGAUUAAAACCACGGAUAAACACAGACACACACACACAGCUGUUACAUAAUCUAAACUGAAAAUAAAUUAUCAACGCUG